GUUUUAGAUUAGAAGCUGCUAUAAAUGCUGUUGUUUUGUGCUACUGAAAAGCAAUUGCAGGAGCAAGAGAGCAGAAGAGAGAGAAGAGAGAAAAACUCUUUACAGAGUGUGACUUGGCACACUUGGAAGGCGUUCAGCCUCUCCACAUUGGACCAGACAGUCUUUCCUUGGCAGCUUCACUUGUGUGCUGUGAUCUGGUUUGCGAAUUAAACAGAGAGACUUUCUGUGAUGGUCAAGAAGAAAAUACACACUUCACAGCAUCUCAGAACCUCAAAACAAUCUCAGAACCCUCAUGGAUAAGACAAAGUUUCAUCCUUAAGCGUCCACAAUUGCAGUCUUUGUUGUCUGAAUGAGAGGACGCAUUCUUCCAGAGGGAUGACCUCUUCUCUCCCCGCUAGCCCUGGCACUGCUCACACCAGCCCAGCAGCCGUCUCUCUUGCCUGCUCUCAUUGUCCUUCCUCUCUCAAAGGCCAUCAGCAGGACAUCUGACUGACAUAUAGUGUGUGUAAAUGGUUGUGUCAAAGCAACGAGAAAUAGAUUGAGCAUAUCCCAAUGGACUCACCCAGACGUUGACCUUUGACACAGAUCAGAAAGAGGAAAUGCCGAAGAGAAGAGACAUUCUGGCACUCGUAUUGAUCGUGUUACCCUGGACUUUGCUCAUCUCAAUUUGGCAUCAGCGUUCUGGCAACCCUUUGCUUCCAGUUCAGAGAGAUGACAGGUUAGGGGUCAGCAGAGCUCACAGAAGAGGCUUCAGACUCCAAGAAUCCUGCAUCACUGAGAACACGCAAAUCACGGAGGUCACCCGGACGAAGUACAUCUAUAGCCGACUCCCGCCUUGGUCUGACACACUGCCCACUCUUCACGUGAUAACUCCAACCUACAGCAGGCCAGUCCAGAAGGCAGAGUUGACCCGCCUUGCUAACACCCUCCUACACGUCCCCAACCUUCACUGGUUGGUGGUGGAGGACUCUGCAGGGAAAACGCUGCUUGUGUCUAGACUGCUGGAGAACACAGGUUUGAAUUACACGCACUUGAACAUUGAGACUCCUAGGAACCUCAAGGUGCGAACGAAUCCCAGAGAUUCACGGAUCCCACGCGGCACCGUGCAGAGGAAUCUGGCUCUCCGCUGGCUGAGGAGAAACAUCGACCCCAUCUCUGGUCAUAAAGGAAUCGUCUAUUUUGCAGAUGAUGACAAUACCUACAGCCUGGAGCUGUUUGAAGAGAUGCGUUGGACUCGCAGAGCAUCUGUUUGGCCGGUCGCCUUUGUCGGAGGUCUUCGUUUUGAAUCACCUAAAAUCAACUCUUUUGGCAAAGUGUUCGGCUGGAGGACAGUGUUUGACCCUCAUCGACCAUUUGCCAUCGACAUGGCAGGGUUUGCAGUGAACCUCCAGCUCAUCCUCAGUAAACCUCAGGCCUACUUUAAACUCCGGGGGGUAAAGGGAGGAUACCAGGAGAGCAGUCUAUUACAGGAUCUGGUCACUCUUAGUGACCUGGAACCCAAAGCUGCCAACUGCACAAAGAUUUUUUCCAUGCAUUGAAAGUGAAUGGUGACUGAGGCUGUCAUUCUGCUUAACAUCUUCCACAAAAAGAAGAAAGUCAUACAGGUUUAAACAACAUGAGGGUCCUGGUCUGGCACACCCGAACGGAAAGACCUGUGCUUGUGAAUGAAGGAAAAAAGGGAUUUACAGAUGUCAGCAUGGAAAUAUGAUGAACUGCAACCAUGCUGUAUUUUUUACAUUUAUUUCACAGUAUUGCAAGUUGGACAAUGCUGGAGUUCCCAGGCAAAACUAAAAUGUCAUUGUUCACUUCACUGAAUGUGAACUUUCACCUCAUCUGAGACACACUGGAGUUUUCAAAUAACACAAAGCAAACAGCAAUUCUCCAUUUUCCUCUGAGGCACAAAAAAAAAAAUUCUCCUUAAAAAGGAUUAAAAGGAAAUUAAAAAGGAAAUUCUCUGAGUGAAAUGGUGUAGUUCUGCACAGUAUGUUUGUAUUUUAUUCCUGAUAAAUGCUCUGGAAAGCUUUUGCUCUAAUAGCUUUACAAUGAUGGUUUGAAUGGGAGUUCAGAUGAAGCUUGGAUAAAAAAAAAAAAAAUUUUACAAUGCAGGUCUUACUAUUUUGUCUUACUAUCAAAAGAGAGCAUAAAACUUGCUCAUGCAAAACUCACUACCACUAUGCCAGAGCGUUGCUAUGUGGUUGCAUAGAUGUUCUGAGUGGUUGUAAGCACAUUGCUAUGCAAUUUCUAAGGUGUUCUGAGUGGUUGCUUACCAGCCCAAGUCAAAGGAGCCCACUCCAAGGUGUCUAUGAUAAUCUACUCCCUACAUUUGACUCAAGUCCUUCCUUUAAUGUAAGUUUAUGGAUUUUUUUUUUUUUUUUCACCAGUUUAAGCAUCCAAGAGAAAACUGUCAGUCCGAUCACUUAGAAUAGUAAAAGCACACCUCUCCUCAAUAAGCUGUAUGGUUUGAGGUAUCAUGCAUGUCAAUAGCACAAACGGUGAGUGAUGAGUUAGGGCCAAAGCUUAAUAUUUGAGGUUAAAGCAAACCCCUAACCUUAAGCAAAAAUAAUUUUAAUGCUUGCCUUUGCAAGCACCACUAAUUAAAACCAGUUUCAGUUAGGUAUAAAUACAUUUUUCAGUGUUUAGAGAAAGCAAUAUAACGCUGGAAUCUACAGUCAGUGUACUGUGAAACAACUAUGUGCCUGUGGAAUUUAUUGGGAAAAAAACUAGAUCAAUAAUUUUACUUGCUCUGUUGUAUUUGAGAGUCUUAACUGAGUAAUGUUUGUACAUUUUCCUGAUUGGCCAGUGCAGUUUAAGCUUUCAUAUACAAAGUAAACUUAAAGGGACACACACACACACACACACACACGUUGGUGCGGCUAUCUUUAUAAGGACUCUCCAUAGACAUAAUGAUUUUUAUACUGUGUGAACUAUAGAUUCUAUCCCCUAAACCUACCCCUAAACCUAACCCUCACAAAAAAACUUUCUUUUUACAUUUUCAAAAAAACAUCGUUUAGUAUGUUUUUUAAGCGAUUCGAAUUAUGGGGACACUAGAAAUGUCUUCGUGCACCGCAUUUAUAGCAUAAUACCCUUGUAAUUACCAGUUUGUAACCUAAAAAAAAUGUCCUUGUAAACGACUCAAACCCACCCAUGCACACACACACACACACACACACACACACACACACACACACACACACAAAUGGCCAGUCCAACUCAAAGAGAAAGUUUCACACCUUUUUAUUUUAGAAAUUACACAAUAAAUAUUUUAAAAUAUAUAUAUAAAAAAAUAUUUUUUAGAAAUGUCAAGGAAUGCAAACCCAUGCUUAUAAUACAAAUGUCUUGCUUAAAAAUCCAACAGUGUCAUAUAACAAUACAAUUUCUUGGUCAGGCAGUGUCUUUGAUAGUCUGUGUCCUCAUCCUCAUGUUGUUAUCUUUAAAACGUAUUUGAACUUACUUUGUUAAAUGUCAACUGUCAUUCCCAUAUCAGGAGAGUCUUCAAACUGGAUUUUAAAAUCUGCUUCUGCUUCUUCAAAUACAAUCACCUGAAAAAGAACAACAAAUCUUGCAGAAUUUGCACUGAUUUGCUAAAAGUCUACAUUUUUGUUUAUAUUUUAAUUAUAUUUUCAUGUGCAAUCCAAGGAAACAAUUCCACCGGCCCUGAAUGUGUUAUGAUAAAGCUCAUAUUUUUUGUUAGAUUCAAACUUAUAGAAAAUCACAUGGGUUCAGUACCUUAGUACUAAACAUGGCAAAAACACACAGCCAAACACAACAGAUGGAUCUUAGGACUGACAGAUGCUGCAGAAAUUAUCAAGAAAGAAAUAUUUCUAUAAACUAACUUAGUUCGUUGUUGAGGAAGUGUCCUGGCAGAAACAGAGCUUGCUGUGGUCCAGUAUCCCAGUAACGUCCAAUGUUCUGUCCAUAAAUAAAGACUACACCUUUACUCCAGCCCUGGACACAUAAUUAUUCAUUAAACAUGAUUUCAAACCAAAUUUAAGCAUUAAAAUCUUGAAAAAGUGGAGAGACUUGAGAUCUGUGAAGAAUUUAACUCACUGGCAUCUUGAUGAAUGUGUCACUGGGAUAACCAUUCACAAAUAUUCUGCCCUGGAAAAAGCCUGGGAAACUUGGUUUUUUAGGGAGCAACUUCCAAGGAGUACGAUUCAAGCUGAAUCAAACGUACAAUCAUUCAUAAAGGGACAGUUCACUGAAAAUUAAAAUUCACAUUUACUCAGCCUCAUGUUGUUCAAACCCAUAAGACUUUCGUCCUUCGAACACAAAAGGAGAUGUUGAGCAGAAUAUCAGCCUCAGUCACUAUUCACUUUUCAUUGUAUGGAAAAAAGAUGGUGACUGAAGCUGACAUUCUGCCUAACAUCUCUUUUUGUGUUCCACAGAAGAAAGAAAGUAAUUUGGGUUUUAAACAUAAGGCUGUGUUAAUGGAAGGGAUCUGCAUUUUGGGGUGAACAAUCCCUUUAAGAUUUCUCUGAAUCCUAAUGCAAUUGCUGUUAUGUCCCAUCACAUUAUCAUGAAAUAUUUUACAAACCUGUCAAUAAAGUUGGAAGUCAUAUUCAGGCUAUAGAUUGUGAAGCCUCUAAGUGGUGUAUUAUUCAAUAAAA